UGACCGCUGGCGGUAGGCCUAACACAUGCACGUCGACCGGCAGCACAGUAAGAGCUUGCUCUUACGGGUGGCGAGUGGCGGACGGGUGAGGAAUACAUCGGAAUCUACUUUUUCGUGGGGGAUAACGUAGGGAAACUUACGCUAAUACCGCAUACGACCUACGGGUGAAAGCAGGGGAUCUUCGGACCUUGCGCGAUUGAAUGAGCCGAUGUCGGAUUAGCUAGUUGGCGGGGUAAAGGCCCACCAAGGCGACGAUCCGUAGCUGGUCUGAGAGGAUGAUCAGCCACACUGGAACUGAGACACGGUCCAGACUCCUACGGGAGGCAGCAGUGGGGAAUAUUGGACAAUGGGCGCAAGCCUGAUCCAGCCAUACCGCGUGGGUGAAGAAGGCCUUCGGGUUGUAAAGCCCUUUUGUUGGGAAAGAAAAGCAGCAGGUUAAUACCCCGCUGUUCUGACGGUACCCAAAGAAUAAGCACCGGCUAACUUCGUG
rnacentral:rRNA from 1 species